CCCGUGAAUAGCUCAGUUGGUAGAGCGGGAGACUGUAGAUCUCUAGGUCGGUGGUUCGACUCCGCCCUCACGGGA